AUGUCGCCUCCUCUCCCUGCUCCACCAACCGAGAGGAGGACGCUCAUCCAUUCGCUCACUAUACAUGUCCUCGAUGUGGUGGACCGCACGGUUCCAUACUUGGAGCUUCAUACCAACUUCCAGCCGGAUGAUGAUGAGGAUCUGACGAGGAGACAUGACUAUUCACGGUGCUGCUGCAGAGGAAGGGUCGACGGCACGGGCGGUCACCCGUUCGGGGGCCUGGGGGGCUACGGCAUGGCUGGAGACUGGGGUGGCGGCCGCAGAGUCAAUGGUGUCCAGCCGCCGGCGGGCGGCAUGGCACUCUCUUUGGGCGACCAGGGCUAUGGAUCGACAACCAGGACUGGCGAUGGUGCAACUGUGACGGCGGUCCCUGCCUGGCCUGGUGUGCACCCCCCUGUUGGCGCUGGUGCUCGGGCUGGUCCGGCUGUCAGGCCAGCCCCUGGGAACCGCCGACCUGCUUCUUCGGGCAUGGGCUCGGGCCGUUGUAGUUCGCUGGCAUCCACGGCUGUUGGCUCGAGGGCUCGCGUUGACACACCCUUGGUGCCGUUGUCCGUGGCGACCACUGCGGUCGACUCUAAGGCUCUUAGGAGUACGCCAUCCUUGCGCAAGGCUGACCUCUGGGGCACGCCGCCGCCUCGCCGGUUGUCCUUCAGCCCGGCGUCUCCGGUGACCUCUGCGGAACAUGGUCAGGAGACUGUUGGCCUAACAUUUGCUGUCCAAGCUGUGGAGGUGGGAGGUCCGGCGAGCAGGGCUGUAUCGAGCGCCGCUGACAACCUGGGAGUGCAGAUUUGGAACCGGAUGGAAGAUGAUGAGGGGACAACUCUCACGCAAGAGAUGGGUUUGUCCAUCCAGAUUCACCCUGCUCGCUGCAGCUGCCCCAGCCAUGUGCAGACACCGUUCGCGACCCCCCUUCCUCAACACUUGCUACUGCCGCCCACGACGGCCAGGGAAGGGGACACUCCUAUGUUGGGGCCAAGGACGGCGUCGGAGACGCGGUUGCAGGGCCUGGGAACCUCUCUGAUGCCUUCAGCUAUGGGUCCGAGACCAGCCACGUCAGCCCCAGCCAAACGCAAGAUGCCUUUGCCGCCCAACUUCACGCCCAGAUGGAGCGCACGCCUCUGCAAGAACACUAUGGGACACAACUCCGGAUGGCAACGGGGACGAAACUCAUCGGGUUUUGCCUUCUCAAACCCAUCCCCACGAGAAAAUCUUAAAUCCGUCCCCGUUCCCAUCAUCGUGCGCGGGGCUAGUUUUCCGCCCGUUCCCUAA
rnacentral:rRNA from 1 species